rnacentral:rRNA from 1 species
CAACCUACCUAUCAGAGGGGAAUAACCCGGCGAAAGUCGGACUAAUACCGCAUAAAACAGGGGCACCGCAUGGUGAUAUUUGUUAAAGAAAUUCGCCGAUAGAUGGGCAUGCGUUCCAUUAGGUAGUUGGUGAGGUAACGGCUCACCAAGCCGACGAUGGAUAGGGGAACUGAGAGGUUGGUCCCCCACACUGGUACUGAGACACGGACCAGACUCCUACGGGAGGCAGCAGUGAGGAAUAUUGGUCAAUGGGCGAGAGCCUGAACCAGCCAAGUCGCGUGAAGGAAGAAGGAUCUAUGGUUCGUAAACUUCUUUUGCAGGGGAAUAAAGUGCAGGACGUGUCCUGUUUUGUAUGUACCCUGAGAAUAAGGAUCGGCUAACUCCGUGCCAGCAGCCGCGGUAAUACGGAGGAUCCGAGCGUUAUCCGGAUUUAUUGGGUUUAAAGGGUGCGUAGGUGGUUUGAUAAGUCAGCGGUGAAAGUUUGCAGCUUAACUGUAAAAAUGCCGUUGAAACUGUCGGACUUGAGUGUAAAUGAGGUAGGCGGAAUGCGUGGUGUAGCGGUGAAAUGCAUAGAUAUCACGAAGAACUCCGAUUG